AACACGUGGGUAACCUGCCUGUAAGACUGGGAUAACUCCGGGAAACCGGGGCUAAUACCGGAUGGUUGUUUGAACCGCAUGGUUCAAACAUAAAAGGUGGCUUCGGCUACCACUUACAGAUGGACCCGCGGCGCAUUAGCUAGUUGGUGAGGUAACGGCUCACCAAGGCAACGAUGCGUAGCCGACCUGAGAGGGUGAUCGGCCACACUGGGACUGAGACACGGCCCAGACUCCUACGGGAGGCAGCAGUAGGGAAUCUUCCGCAAUGGACGAAAGUCUGACGGAGCAACGCCGCGUGAGUGAUGAAGGUUUUCGGAUCGUAAAGCUCUGUUGUUAGGGAAGAACAAGUACCGUUCGAAUAGGGCGGUACCUUGACGGUACCUAACCAGAAAGCCACGGCUAACUACGUGCCAGCAGCCGCGGUAAUACGUA
rnacentral:rRNA from 1 species